UACAGAGGGGGCGAGCGUUAUUCGGAAUUAUUGGGCGUAAAGGGCGCGUAGGCGGCCUUUCAAGUGACGGGUGAAAUCCCUCGGCUUAACCGAGGAACUGCCUGUCAGACUGGAAGGCUUGAGACCGGGAGAGGUGAGUGGAAUUCCCAGUGUAGCGGUGAAAUGCGUAGAUAUUGGGAGGAACACCAGUGGCGAAGGCGGCUCACUGGACCGGUACUGACGCUGAGGCGCGAAAGCGUGGGGAGCAAACAGGAUA
rnacentral:rRNA from 1 species